rnacentral:rRNA from 1 species
AGAGUUUGAUCCUGGCUCAGGACGAACGCUGGCGGCACGCCUAACACAUGCAAGUCGAACGGAGAUGAUUUGAGUUUACUUAGAUCAUCUUAGUGGCGGACGGGUGAGUAACACGUGAGCAACCUGCCUUUGAGAGAGGGAUAGCUUCUGGAAACGGAUGGUAAUACCCCAUAACAUACAGAUACCGCAUGGUGACUGUAUCAAAGAUUUAUCACUCAAAGAUGGGCUCGCGUCUGAUUAGAUAGUUGGUGAGGUAACGGCUCACCAAGUCGACGAUCAGUAGCCGGACUGAGAGGUUGAACGGCCACAUUGGGACUGAGACACGGCCCAGACUCCUACGGGAGGCAGCAGUGGGGAAUAUUGCACAAUGGGGGAAACCCUGAUGCAGCGAUGCCGCGUGGAGGAAGAAGGUUUUCGGAUUGUAAACUCCUGUCUUAAAGGACGAUAAUGACGGUACUUUAGGAGGAAGCUCCGGCUAACUACGUGCCAGCAGCCGCGGUAAUACGGAAGGUCCGGGCGUUAUCCGGAUUUAUUGGGUUUAAAGGGAGCGUAGGCCGGAGAUUAAGCGUGUUGUGAAAUGUAGAUGCUCAACAUCUGCACUGCAGCGCGAACUGGUUUCCUUGAGUACGCAUAAAGUGGGCGGAAUUCGUGGUGUAGCGGUGAAAUGCUUAGAUAUCACGAAGAACUCCGAUUGCGAAGGCAGCUCACUGGGGCGCAACUGACGCUGAAGCUCGAAAGCGCGGGUAUCGAACAGGAUUAGAUACCCUGGUAGUCCGCGCGGUAAACGAUGGAUGCCCGCUGUUGGGCCAACUGGUUCAGCGGCCAAGCGAAAGCAUUAAGCAUCCCACCUGGGGAGUACGCCGGCAACGGUGAAACUCAAAGGAAUUGACGGGGGCCCGCACAAGCGGAGGAACAUGUGGUUUAAUUCGAUGAUACGCGAGGAACCUUACCCGGGCUUGAAUUGCAGAGGAAGGAUUUGGAGACAAUGACGCCCUUCGGGGCCUCUGUGAAGGUGCUGCAUGGUUGUCGUCAGCUCGUGCCGUGAGGUGUCGGCUUAAGUGCCAUAACGAGCGCAACCCCUCUCCAUAGUUGCCAUCAGGUUAAGCUGGGCACUCUGUGGACACUGCCACCGUAAGGUGUGAGGAAGGUGGGGAUGACGUCAAAUCAGCACGGCCCUUACGUCCGGGGCUACACACGUGUUACAAUGGCAGGUACAGAGAGCCGGUCGUAUGCAAAUACGAUCCAAUCCUUAAAGCCUGUCUCAGUUCGGACUGGGGUCUGCAACCCGACCCCACGAAGCUGGAUUCGCUAGUAAUCGCGCAUCAGCCAUGGCGCGGUGAAUACGUUCCCGGGCCUUGUACACGCCGCCCGUCACACCAUGGGAGUCGGUAAUGCCCGAAGUCAGUGACUCAACCAUAAAGGAGAGAGCUGCCGAAGGCAGGACUGGUAACUGGGGUGAAGUCGUAACAGGGUA